GGGGAAUUUUGCGCAAUGGACGAAAGUCUGACGCAGCGACGCCGCGUGAGUGAAGAAGGCCUGCGGGUUGUAAAGCUCUGUCGAGUGGGAAGAAAAUCCGUUAGGUUAAUAGCCUAGUGGCCUGACGGUACCACUAAAGGAAGCACCGGCUAACUCCGUGCCAGCAGCCGCGGUAAUACGGAGGGUGCAAGCGUUGCUCGGAAUUAUUGGGCGUAAAGGGCAGGUAGGUGGUCUCGUUUGUCUGGGGUGAAAGCCCUGAGCUUAACUCAGGAAGUGCCUCAGAAACGGCGAGACUAGAAUUCUAGAGAGGGUAGCGGAAUUCCCGGUGUAGCGGUGAAAUGCGUAGAGAUCGGGAGGAACACCAGCGGCGAAAGCGGCUACCUGGAUAGAUAUUGACACUUAACUGCGAAAGCGUGGGGAGCAAAC
rnacentral:rRNA from 1 species